rnacentral:rRNA from 1 species
AUUGAACGCUGGCGGCAUGCCUUACACAUGCAAGUCGAACGGUAACAGGUUAAGCUGACGAGUGGCGAACGGGUGAGUAAUGUAUCGGAACGUGCCCAGUCGUGGGGGAUAACUGCUCGAAAGAGCCGCUAAUACCGCAUACGACCUGAGGGUGAAAGAGGGGGACCGCAAGACCUCGCGCGAUUGGAGCGGCCGAUAUCAGAUUCGGUAGUUGGUGAGGGAAAGGCUCACCAAGCCGACGAUCUGUAGCUGGUCUGAGAGGACGACCAGCCACACUGGGACGGAGACACGGCCCAGACUCCUACGGGAGGCAGCAGUGGGGAAUUUUGGACAAUGGGCGCAAGCCUGAUCCAGCCAUGCCGCGUGCGGGAAGAAGGCCUUCGGGUUGUAAACCGCGUUUGUCAGGGAAGAAAAGGUUCUGGCUAAUACCUGGGACUCAUGACGGUACCUGAAGAAUAAGCACCGGCUAACUACGUGCCAGCCGCCGCCGUAA